GUGGAUGUAGCUCAGUGGGUAGAGUGCUUGCCUUGCAUGCACAAAGCCCUGGGUUUGAAACCCAGCACCAUA
rnacentral:tRNA from 1 species